GUAGGUGGCAAGCGUUGUCCGGGAAUUAUUGGGGCGUAAAAGCGCGCGCAGGCGGUUCUUUAAGUCUGAUGUGAAAGCCCACGGGCUCAACCGUGGAGGGUCAUUGGAAACUGGAGAACUUGAGUACAGAAGAGGAAAGCGGAAUUCCACGUGUAGCGGUGAAAUGCGUAGAGAUGUGGAGGAACACCAGUGGCGAAGGCGGCUUUCUGGUCUGUAACUGACGCUGAGGCGCGAAAGCGUGGGGAGCAAACAGGAUUAGAUACCCUGGUAGUCCACGCCAUAAACGAUGAGUGCUAAGUGUUAGGGGGUUUCCGCCCCUUAGUGCUGCAGCUAACGCAUUAAGCACUCCGCCUGGGGAGUACGGCCGCAAAGGCUG
rnacentral:rRNA from 1 species